UAAUGUUGAAAAAUUAGCGGAUGACUUGUGGCUGGGGGUGAAAGGCCAAUCAAACCGGGAGAUAGCUGGUUCUCCCCGAAAGCUAUUUAGGUAGCGCCUCGUGAAUUCAUCUCCGGGGGUAGAGCACUGUUUCGGCAAGGGGGUCAUCCCGACUUACCAACCCGAUGCAAACUGCGAAUACCGGAGAAUGUUAUCACGGGAGACACACGGCGGGUGCUAACGUCCGUCGUGAAGAGGGAAACAACCCAGACCGCCAGCUAAGGUCCCAAAGUCAUGGUUAAGUGGGAAACGAUGUGGGAAGGCCCAGACAGCCAGGAUGUUGGCUUAGAAGCAGCCAUCAUUUAAAGAAAGCGUAAUAGCUCACUGGUCGAGUCGGCCUGCGCGGAAGAUGUAACGGGGCUAAACCAUGCACCGAAGCUGCGGCAGCGACACUAUGUGUUGUUGGGUAGGGGAGCG
rnacentral:rRNA from 1 species